UUUCCGGUUGAUCCCGCCGGAGGCCACUGCUAUCGGGCUCCGACUAAGCCAUGCGAGUCUAGGGGCUCCUUCGGGGGCACCGGCGGACGGCUCAGUAACACGUGGACAACCUACCCUCGGGUGGGGGAUAACCUCGGAAAACUGAGGCUAAUACCCCAUAGGUCUCGGAUACUGGAAGGUUCCGAGGCCGAAAGCUCCGGCGCCCGAGGAUGGGUCUGCGGCCUAUCAGGUAGUUGGUGGUGUAAAGGACCACCAAGCCUGCGACGGGUACGGGCCCUGAGAGGGGGAGCCCGGAGAUGGACUCUGAGACACGAGUCCAGGCCCUACGGGGCGCAGCAGGCGCGAAACCUUCGCAAUGCGCGAAAGCGCGACGAGGGGAGCCCGAGUGCCCUUCCUUUUGGGAGGGCUUUUCCGGAGUCUAAAAAGCUCCGGGAAUAAGGGCUGGGCAAGGCCGGUGGCAGCCGCCGCGGUAAUACCGGCGGCCCGAGUGGUGGCCGCUAUUAUUGGGCCUAAAGCGUCCGUAGCCGGGCCCGUAAGUCCCUGGCGAAAUCCCACGGCUCAACCGUGGGGCUUGCUGGGGAUACUGCGGGCCUUGGGACCGGGAGAGGCCGGGGGUACCCCUGGGGUAGGGGUGAAAUCCUAUAAUCCCAGGGGGACCGCCAGUGGCGAAGGCGCCCGGCUGGAACGGGUCCGACGGUGAGGGACGAAGGCCAGGGGAGCGAACCGGAUUAGAUACCCGGGUAGUCCUGGCUGUAAAGGAUGCGGGCUAGGUGUCGGGCGAGCUUCGAGCUCGCCCGGUGCCGAAGGGAAGCCGUUAAGCCCGCCGCCUGGGGAGUACGGCCGCAAGGCUGAAACUUAAAGGAAUUGGCGGGGGAGCACUACAAGGGGUGGAGCGUGCGGUUUAAUUGGAUUCAACGCCGGGA
rnacentral:rRNA from 1 species